CCUGGUGGCUCAGAUGGUAAAGCAUCUGCCUAAAAUGCGGGAGACCUGGGUUCAAUUCCUGGGUCAGGA
rnacentral:tRNA from 1 species